rnacentral:rRNA from 1 species
GACGAACGCUGGCGGCGUGCUUAACACAUGCAAGUCGAACGGAAAGGCCCUGCUUUUGUGGGGUGCUCGAGUGGCGAACGGGUGAGUAACACGUGAGUAACCUGCCCUUGACUUUGGGAUAACUUCAGGAAACUGGGGCUAAUACCGGAUAGGAGCUCCUGCUGCAUGGUGGGGUUUGGAAAGUUUCGGCGGUUGGGGAUGGACUCGGGGCUUAUCAGCUUGUUGGUGGGGUAGUUGCUUACCAAGGCUUUGAUGGGUAGCCGGCCUGGGAGGGUGACCGGCCACAAUGGGACUGAGGUACGGCCCAGAGUCCUACGGGAGGCAGCAGUGGGGAAUAUUGCACAAUGGGCGGAAGCCUGAUGCAGCAACGCCGCGUGCGGGAUGACGGCCUUCGGGUUGUAAACCGCUUUCGCCUGUGACGAAGCGUGAGUGACGGUAAUGGGUAAAGAAGCACCGGCUAACUACGUG